rnacentral:rRNA from 1 species
GGACGAAGGCCUUCGGGUUGUAAACCUCUUUUAGUAGGGAAGAAGCGACUGGGUUUUCCUGGGAGUGACGGUACCUGCAGAAAAAGCACCGGCUAACUACGUGCCAGCAGCCGCGGUAAUACGUAGGGUGCAAGCGUUGUCCGGAAUUAUUGGGCGUAAAGAGCUCGUAGGCGGUUUGUCGCGUCUGCUGUGAAAACCCGAGGCUCAACCUCGGGCCUGCAGUGGGUACGGGCAGACUAGAGUGCGGUAGGGGAGAUUGGAAUUCCUGGUGUAGCGGUGGAAUGCGCAGAUAUCAGGAGGAACACCAAUGGCGAAGGCAGAUCUCUGGGCCGUAACUGACGCUGAGGAGCGAAAGCAUGGGGAGCGAACAGGAUUAGAUACCCUGGUAGUCCAUGCCGUAAACGUUGGGAACUAGAUGUGGGGACCAUUCCACGGUCUCCGUGUCGCAGCUAACGCAUUAAGUUCCCCGCCUGGGGAGUACGGCCGCAAGGCUAAAACUCAAAGGAAUUGACGGGGGCCCGCACAAGCGGCGGAGCAUGCGGAUUAAUUCGAUGCAACGCGAAGAACCUUACCAAGGCUUGACAUAUACCGGAAACGGCUGGAAACAGUCGCCCCGCAAGGUCGGUAUACAGGUGGUGCAUGGUUGUCGUCAGCUCGUGUCGUGAGAUGUUGGGUUAAGUCCCGCAACGAGCGCAACCCUCGUCCUAUGUUGCCAGCACGUAAUGGUGGGAACUCAUGGGAUACUGCCGGGGUCAACUCGGAGGAUGGUGGGGAUGACGUCAAAUCAUCAUGCCCCUUAUGUCUUGGGCUUCACGCAUGCUACAAUGGCCGGUACAAAGGGCUGCGAUACCGCAAGGUGGAGCGAAUCCCAAAAGGCCGGUCUCAGUUCGGAUUGAGGUCUGCAACUCGACCUCAUGAGGUCGGAGUCGCUAGUAAUCGCAGAUCAGCAACGCUGCGGUGAAUACGUUCCCGGGCCUUGUACACACCGC